AAAAACCAAAAAACUCUACCAAUCAGAGAGCUUCUCUCUCAGUUUGGGUCUUUAACGGUGCAAAUAUCUGCACUGGGGAAAUGGAAGUUGCCAGUCAUUUAUACUUAAGAAUGCAGUUUGAUAACAGGAAGACUAGUUGCGGGGCUGAGAGGAUGUCAGGAAGGAGGGCUCACAAGAAAGAAAAUGGCGGGCCUCAAGGUGGGGCACUUUUAGUGAGUUGCCACGGAGACUGAGCCUACCAGGAGGUGAAAGGAAAACGGGAAACAAAGCCGAUGUGUUUUAGAGCUUGCCUUUAGCACUCCCUCCUGCCACACAGUUUUUAAGAACCACUUCAUUUUUAGAGCUAGAAGGCAUCUUCAAUACCAUGAGAGUCUGUGGUUUUCAAACAUUUUUGAGCCAAAAGGAGAAGGCCUUUAAAUGCAAUCUUACCAUAAGCCCAGUAUGAAAAACAGGUAAGUGGAGAUGCUCUGGUUCUAGGCGGGCAGUGAGCCAGAAAACAAACCGCGCCGCGUGCGCGCACGCACGCAUACACACAAUUUUCCCACAGUACUCUCCACACCUCCCCCUCAGGAUUCCCAAGUGCUAUGAAACAGUGCAUCCAAACACAGCAAGAGACCCACAGUUGUCCUCUGUCGUCACCAUGUCUGUGAGGCUGGGCUCCAGCGGUCAAAGAAAAUGGACCUGACUUUUCCCUCCCUCCAUCGAGGAUCAGACCUCCACUCCCCAAACUCCUCAUCUAUUCUGUAAAUGUUUGCUAAAUCAAAGAAAGAGCCCUUUCAUGGGGUCACUAAAGACUUCCCCUGAGUUUAAUAUGACCAACAAAUAUUUACUAAGUGCUGGCUACACCCUUGACCCUGUGUAGGGCACUCAGAACAAAUGGCUGUUGUCAUUGCUACGUUCAUCAACACUCUUGGGAUGCUGUUUGUCCAACCUUCUCCAAACCAUCUAAAUUACCACUAAACAUCCAGCCCACAUCUGUCCAUCUUUUCUCUAAAUGUGCUGUGAGACACGCUGUGAAAUGAUUUGUUGAAAUGCAGAUAAACUACAUCUGUCAGCCCCCAUCUAUGAUUCUGGUGAGACUUGCAAAAAAAAAUGAGGUUUGGCCCCAAUUCACUCUUUGCAAACCUUGGCUCCAAGGGACGACCACUGCUUCCUGUCCUUGGAACUUACAAACCAUCUGUGUAAUGACCUGUUCUAGCUUCCUGCCAAGUACUGACGUCCAUUGCACCAGUCAGCAGUUCCCACCAAAAGUGCUUAGGGCCUCAGGGCCUCCCAUCCCUGCUGCUGGCCCAAGUCCAGGUCACAGAGAUGGCUCCCUCAUCCUCUUGCUUGUUACGGGAGUACAAUGGGAAGCGGGGAGAGUUCACAUUAGUGCAAUUAUUUCUGUAUAAGCAAUACCAAUCUGGGGCUCAGAACUGCUUAGCUGAGAGCAGAAGAACAAAGACUUUACAGAGAAGCAUGGCUAGGUUUGCCACCCAGCUCUACCACAUGCUGCCUGGGUUUGGUUAACUACCCUCUCUGAACCUGCCAAAUGAGCCUCGCGGAAGGUUGUGAGGAUUAAACGCAAUUAACUAUGAAGUGCUUAGGACGGUGGCUGGCACACGUCAUGACUGUCACUAUGAGAAACUGUUCUUGUUGAUCAACUCCUUUAGCUCAGGGGUGGGACAGGGCAAGGAACUGGCCCAGAGGGAGGGUCUCUGUGUGAGGGGCAUAUUCACAGGUACACAGUUCACUUAUUUUUCUAGGCAUCAGGAGGUAUGCAGAAAAGACAGUCUUCCCCAUAAAGUUUGGAUUCUUAUAGAGAAAGAAUCAUGAAAAAAAUGUCUGUGCCCUUUCAGUCACGUGGUUUGUGAAUUUGCUGUCCUUGGGUCAGGCUGAGAUCCCAGAGUCCUGGCCCCCAACUGGUUCUGGACCUACUUCUCAGAAGACCCACAGGUCUUCAGGGUGGCCCCUAACCCCCCAGAUUGCUCAGUGCAAGGGAUUCAGUCUCCUUGAGCACUCUUAAGAAGACUCAGAGGAACCGCGCGAGAGAGACCCCUCCAAAGAAGUGUCCAUCCAGGAGGCAAACGUUUUCACAAUCCAUGCUCCCAGCCCUCAUGGGAAAAUUGCAGGAAAGUCACCCCAGGCCUUUGUUGAUUAAAAUGAAACAGGCAGGAUUCAGCUACAGUGGAUUGCAGAAGUCCUGGGUCAAUUUCUAAAGCAAAUGUAUUUUUUAAAUACUUGAGCUAAAGGCAAUAGUAAUAAAUGACAGCUGGGAAUUUGAAGUUUUAUUUUCAGUUCUGAAAAAAAUUAGGGAGUUGGGUAUCCUUGUAUAUUUUCCUAUUAAGGAUAAAUAAAUAGGGAGAUUCCAUGGUGUUUGUCAGUCUAAAAAGCAAUCAAUUCAAUAUGCCGUUGUCACAGAUUCGGACCCCUUAGAUAGAGCCCUCCUCACUGGAGGAUAUGAAAGUGACAAGGGUAAAAAGUUGCUGGGAAGGUCCCGGGAAAGGGGAUGGAGCCUGCCAGCCUGCUCCCUCUCAAAGCACCUACUUCAGCCUGGGGCUCUGCUAAGAGGGGUAGCACCUCCAGCCUGGACUUUGACCAGCUUUCAGCUGGAGUCAGAGAUCAUAGCAGGAACAAAAUCACAACAGCCAGGAACCCAGCAUAGAAGGUGAAACCCAGCCGAGGACAUCUGGCCUCUGUAACAUACAGCAUUAAUAAAAGGCUAACAGAAAACCAAAGGCCUAUUAAAUAUCCCUGCCCCACCUAGAUCAGCACUUAAUUGGGGUGGAGGGCCCUCAAGGGAGAAGGAAUAUUAGUGGUCCCAAAGACAGGAGAGACCUUGGUCUGAAAAGCUCAGGUCCAAUUAAAACAAGCCAGGAGCCUUUAUUGCUGCCCUGUGUUGACAUCAGGAAACUCGUUUUUAGUUCUGCUAAUGGUUACAAUGUAGAGAUUAUUAUGUUUUUUAUUUCAUGUGCUUAAUCAAUGCUUAAAAGAAUUAAACAAAUGAGACCAAAGAUCACAACUUCCUCAUCCAUCACAGAUGGACAACUUUUCCCAGAGCCAGCCUCUUAAGAAGUCCCCAGUUUCCUUAUCAGGGUUCUGGUAGUCCUACUAUUAUAUUGGUGGCUUUGUCAGAGCAGUUCACAAGCCAAAUGGACUGUAGGCCCCUGCUGUGAUUAGAAAACUUCUCUGUGAAAAUGUAUCUCCCCAAGCUACCUACAGAAAGUCUGCAAAAGGAGAAAGGUUAAUCUCUUUGCUUUAGGGACCUUGAAUCUAGUUAAUAUCCCAACGUCCACCAACAUGAGGAACACGUGCACGCACGCCCACACACACACACGCAUGCACACACACAUCACUGAUGAAAAUGGCUAAGAGUAGAUCUUGUUCUUUAUUUAUUCACCAUUUUUUAUCACUUGUAAUUGGGUCUUUUACCAUGAGCCAGGCACUGUGCUCUAUUCUUACCUAACUCAUCAACUUCAUGUAUCACAAACUUUUAGUGUACGUUGAAAUGGUGGAUGCCCUUGGUAAUUGUGAUUCAGUGGAUCCAAGGGUUUGGCAUCUGUGUGUUUAACAAAAAGCCCAACUGAUGCUUGUGGCCGAGUAGCUCUCCUGGGAGGCCUCCCAGUUUGUCCCCAGUCUCCUGACUGAGGUGCCCCCAAUCUCCCGGCAGGUGGUAUCUCAUCACCGCAGAACAGGCUGGAGCAGGCUGGUCACCUGAGGGAGGGGCAGUGACCUCCCAAUGUGGCCUGAGAAUCCAUUCGCUUUCCCUGGGCAGUCACACAACUGUCUCAAUUUGACCAGAUGGUCUGAAACCCCCAGAUCCUCUUCACCCCGGCUGUGACUGAGCCAGGGGUCCCCCACGCCAGAAUCAAUUUUCUUAAGAGCUAGACCUGGCUUUUAAUCCUAAAUACCUAAAUUAUUUAACUUAGCCUAUUGUUACAGCUUUUCCAGUCCCUUUGGCAUCCUGGCUCCAUUCUGCCGUGCAUCCGUCACAGCCAGGAGUCAUGAGUACACGUGGCAGAAAAUGCCCGUGUACCCUGCUGUCCAUUAGAGGCAGCGGCUGCCCAGACCAGCAGCUCUGUACUUGGCCACAGCCUCCUCCACCACCAGAAAGUUCCCCUCUCUUGUGAGGUUGAGCUCUUCCAGAAUCAGCUCUAUCCUUCCUGCGUAUUUUUUUUGAGCAAGCUUCUUAGCUAUUGAAAACCAAAGAAGCCCACUAUAAGAAAAUUUUUAUUGGAGAGAAACUCUCUCUCCUGAGGACAGUACCUUUUUCUGUUUAUGAAAUUCCCAGUUAGAGCCAUGAUUUAAAGAAAUGCGAGGCUAACUUGAAGUCUGUUUUGGUUAAUAUUCAUGUUGGUGGUGGUUUCACCUACUGAAAAGGCAAAAAUAUUUAACAGAAAUACCCACAUCGGGAGCCCAGACAGUCCCACGGAGGGAGUCCAAGAAACCUUGGAUCUGAGCCCUAACCUUCCCCUUUGUGGCUCAGUUUUUUCCAGCCUAUAAGGGAGCAAUGAUUCCUGCUGCUUCCUCUUCACCCAGAGCUACUGAAGGGGUCUGCAAGAUAAGGCCAUGCUGGACUUUGAGUUUCUGGGGCAAGAAUUAAACAGUUACAGUUGUAGCAUCAUCCUGUGAAAUUAGAUUUCCUCACCCACAAAAUGUUCCCACUGGUGCCUGGAAUGAUAAGAAAUGCUUAAAUUUGGGUAAAGAGACAAUUAACUGAGAGUUUUGUCAUCUGUUGAGGAGCAACAAGUCAUUGCUUUGAAACCUCUGAAUCUGAGACAUGAGGGAAGUCACAGCUUGUAUCUCUAACAUAAAAGGUCUCCUUGUACUAUAUAAGAAUUAUAGGGCUUCCCUGGUGGCGCAGUGGUUGAGAGUCCGCCUGCUGAUGCAGGGGACACAGGUUCGCGUCCUGGUCUGGGAAGAUCCCACAUGCCGCGGAGCGGCUGGGCCCGUGAGCCAUGGCCGCUGAGCCUGCGCAUCCGGAGCCUGUGCUCCGCAAUGGGAGAGGCCACAACAGUGAGAGGCCCGCGUACCGCCAAAAAAAAAAAAAAAGAAUUAUAAAUUGUAACAAUUGCUCUGAAAGCAGGUGUGUGUAUUGCUCUUUAUUUCUUUAAAACAACUUUUCAAAACAUGUCUUCUGUGUCUUAGCUUCAGUCGAAUGUGCUUCUUAGAAUGGAUUUCCGUAACAAGUAGUUGACUGUCCUCUGGUGGAUUGUAAAGGCAGGGUCCAUCAUCUUCUCCCUAAGCAGAAAUUGUUGGGGGCUGAUCCUAGCUAACUAUGAAACUAAAGGAUCGAGCAUUUGACCCUGGAGAUCCCGACACUCCAAUGAUUCCUCUCCCCUGUAUCACAUUUGUUUCGAGACUCUUAAAGAGAUCAUCAUUACCUCAGAUACAAAGGGUGAUUUUAUGUGGUAUGUCCUGAGAAUACGGCUCAUAUGAACCAUCAUAAUAAAAUGAAGGUGCAUUAAAUAAAACAUCAUGUACAGAACAGAGAAGAUGGAUGGAGUGCCACAGAAAAGACUUAAGCAAUAUUCAACUAUACACUAAGUGGAAACAUAUGGGAAGGCGGGUUUUUUUUUUCAGUGUUUUUUUUUUUUUUUAUGUAGUGUGGGGCUUUUAAAUGACGCUAUACAUUUAUAACAGAUGCCUGUUGACCAGAAGUUAUAGAGACCCUCCAAUUACAGAGGACCAGAACUCGGUGGCCACUGUUCCCCAAAAUAGUCAUGUCCAUUGAAACCAAUUUAAAGACACCUUUCAAAAAGUAUCUAUACAACUUUAUGCACCUAAAAUACAGUAAAAUCUCAUAUGAGAUAUCAGAGUUUGGGCAGUUUGUUAGCCCUUAUACUCAAAUGAAAGAAUAUUUCUUUUAAAUUCUCCAGGUAAAGCCCCAUCUUGUCCCUAUAUCAUAAUUUAACUUUUAAUAUGAGUGAGAGUGAAAAGGGGACCUAAAAAUAAUGUAAAAGGCAUUCAGUGGGGUCUUAGUUCAAAUCAUGGGACAGCUCAUCAAAAAGAUAUUGUCAGUGAGUCGAUUAAAUUUUGCUUGGAUUGAAUUUUCCCCUUUAGGAAAAAAAAAAAGAUCUCUGGUUCCUGUUGCAUCACCCCAAAAAAGGGGAUCCACUGAAAUGUGAAAAUAGUGAAAUGUGGAAAUAAAUAUAUAGUUCCCAAAUAUAAACAGUGGUCAUGGUCAUGUGCCUGAGGUUUUCUUUUAUCUUUUUUCCAUAAAGUUUUUAACGCCCUUAAUUACUUUUAUUUAAUAAAAGAAGUGGUAAUUUAAGAAAAGAGAGAAUGCUGCAGAUACAUGCUGGAAGGGGUGAUUACAGAACUGGGUCUGUGAUGUCUGAGCUAGACUUCCUGGUGGGUAGAAAAACGUUCCAGCCCAUUGCGUCAAAGGCCGAGCGAGGAGGUGGGAGUGGCUGGUCACACCAGAACACAAUGGUUCUCUGCCGUGGCCACCUCUGCUUACAUUGCACUCAGCACCACCUUCACUUCCAUGGCCCAGGUCUCCCAAGACACUCAUUUGCAAGGUCACAUCAUUCAAAAUCCUUUUCUGGUCUUCUUAUCAUUCUUUUUGUCCAAGGUUUUUGGACUCAGAGCUUUGGUAUGAAAUUGAAUCUUCAUUUAGUUCAGAAUUUUUUCUUUACCCAGUGACAGAGUAUGAUGAGGUAAUGUUUUCUGGCAGGCUGACCCAAGAUUUGAAUCCUUAAAAGUGAAAAACGUUGAGAGCUUAAAAAGCCAGUGUCAAAUAUUCUCUCAGUAUUCUUGAGUAGACAGUGAUGUUUUCCUAGUGUUAAUUUCAAAGUGACAGAACUGUCAUUAGCCCUACCUGUCCCCACUGCAAAAUUAUAAAUAUAUCAGUUAUCCUCUAUAACAGUAGUAAUGAAAUCUAGUAAUAAAAAAAAAAAAAAAAGACACCAGAAGACUGUCUUUUCCCCCAGAGACUAUUUAGUAGGCUACUCUCUAUCGGUCAGAACAAAAGCAGGCCAGAAAGGGGGUGGGGAAUGACCCCAGAAUCACUGGAUGGUGAGAAAGGAGGCAAGGAGUGAAAUGGUGUUGAAGGCACUUGACUAGUUUCCAAGAUGGAGGAAGCAUCCUUGUCGUGCCUUAAACUAGAGCAGAACAGCACCAUUGUCCCAGCCCUGGCAUAUCAAGAAGAUAAACUUUUUAAAGGAUUCUUCUCAUUCACAAAAACGGAUGUGUUCUGAAGUGGUGGGACUCUGACAUUUGUGAUCCAUAAACCACUUCUGCAAGGCCCAGAACCUUCUCUGAAGUUUUAUUUUGCAUUAAUUACAGUUUUAUAAUCACUUUCUAGAACUGCUCCUUUUUGCACUUUCAGAUAUAAGGAGAAGUGGCAUCUUUUCAUUUGUCUAAAGAAGACAUACAUUUGUAAUUUGCCUUCAGAAAGAGGCCCUUCCCUCUCCCCAUGUUCCAUACUUAGGGGGUCCCUGUGGUUCUCAGAGAAGCAAGGAAAUGACUCUCUUCCAGCCCAGAGCAACUCUGACCUGGCAUCAGGUCACCUCUAUGCAGAAGGCCCCCUGAGGCCUGUGCUGGUGCGACAAUGAUCCACAGCUUGGGAUCAUUUCAGGGGUACAUGGAUAGGGAGGAAAGUUAUAUAGACAAGAAUGACUCACUAACCAACAGCUUGGACACUGACAGAUCAGAGGAAGGGCCAUACCUUGCUCAGCCAGCUCCUCCUUGUAGAUAACAUUGGAAGCAACCUCCUCUGUCAAUCUCACCCGAAUAUUGGCUGUGACUGUUCAGCUAGCAUCUCCCUUUCUAAAUCCCCUACAGUUUCCCUUCCCUUCCUACCGGUUUCUCUUUUUGGUUUGGUAAGUUUUCCCUCCUACUAAUUUCCCAACCUGGAGAGAUGAGGGUUCUGAAUUUUCUUACUUCAUUCUUAGUUCAUUCUUACAAUGGAACAAUGAAGGAGUGCUCUCAUUGGAAGGAUAGUCCUCUACUUGAGCAGAGUAACUCAGUCCUCUCUCCUUCAGCUCCAAUAAAGCUGAAACAAACUGGGAGGUCAUCAGUGAAACUUAGUUCAAACAAGGGCCAACACUUCAAGAAUCAACAUCAUCAUCAUCACCAUCAUGACCAAAAUGCCCAAAAAUGGUUUAAUUUUUUAGGAGGCCUUUGCCUAAAAUGAAAUAAUUUUUAUUAUUUUCAUUGUGUGUUGGAUUCGUUAAAUCAGAGUGAUCAAGCAGAAUAUUAAAAGAGUGUCUGAGGGGCUUCCCUGGCGGCACAGUGGUUAAGAAUCUGCCUGCCAAUGCAGGGGACACGGGUUCGAGCCCUGGUCCAGAAAGAUCCCACAUGCCACGGAGCAACCAAGCCCAUGCGCCACAACUACUGAGCCUGCGCUCUAGAGCCCGCGAGCCACAGCUACUGAGCCCGCGUGCCACAGCUACUGAGCCCGCGAGCCACAGCUACUGAGCCUGCAUGCCACAACUACUGAGCCCGCGAGCCACAACUACUGAAACCCACGCACCUAGAGCCCGUACUCUGCAGCAAGAGAAGCCACUGCAAUAAGAAGCUCGCACACCGCAAGAAAGAGUAGCCCCUGCUCACCGCAACUAGAGAAAGCCCGUGCACAGCAAUGAAGACUCAACGCAGCCAAAAAUAAAUAAAUAAAAACAGUGUCUGAAAAUCAGGCAAGACUAGGGAAACAGGUAUGAAUUACCUAAAGGAGAAAAUGGCUAAAAAUUACAGUAUUACAGAUUAUUUGUUUUAUCUCAAAGGUAGAUGUAUACCAAAUAUAUUCCAAAUUUCAGUUGAGUGUUGGGUUACUGAAGGUAAACAGAAACCACACCUCCACCCUUCCCCUUUGAGUUUUAAACUCUGGUGCAUAAACUAUGUUCUCAUCUCCACCUGGUCCUGCCAACAGUGAGGUUGAAUGCUGUCUAACAAUAUGGCCAGGGCCCCUGUCUCUGGAGUAGUUUCUAAGGUAAUAAAAAACCAUCUACUGUGUCAAUAGCCUUUGAAAGAUGACCUGUAUCAAUACAGAUUCCAGGUUAUCUCUGGCCCGAGCAAGUCUAAAAAACAAAUAGGAUCUCCUUUUUCAAGGAGUAUGAACUUUUGGAAUUUUCCUUUCAUUCCUAUAGAAGAUAUUGCCCUUUUGGUCAGGUCACGUAUGGUAAUUAUAUCCAAAGCUCAAAGAAGUCAUGUCUACAUGACUGACGACCUCCCUGACAGCAGUAGGUUGAAAUCACUGUUGUUUUUUAUUGACUGAAGAUUGUGUCGACACGCUUUGAAAAUGGACUUAAGGUGAUCUAGAUAGUAAUCGGCCUCUGAUUUAGGCUACAGCUCCUCAUAGAACCGUUCUGUUCAUGAGAAGAACUCUGUCCUUUUGCUGCUCUUCACUUUUUUUCCUUUUUUCCUCCGUGUUCCUCUCCCUUGCCCCCAAAUCCCUACCGAGGCCAGUAAAUGCCCUACUUCAAAGUUUCCGAAAAUGGGCUUGUGUUCCAUUCCCUCUGCAGGGUGUCUCAGUGCCCCACCCUGAGCGCAGGUUUAUGUCAUUCACAAAAACAUGAAGGAUUAUGAGAUGUCCUGGCACCAUCCUGCCUAAUACUCCUCAGACCCAUGCAUCUCUUUUUUUUAGUUUAGUUUAUUGAAGUAUAGUUGAUUUACAAUGUUGUGUUAAUUUCUACUGUACAGCAAAGUGAUUCACUUAUACAUAUAAUACGUUCUUUUUCAUAUUCUUUUCCAUUAUGGUUUAUUACAGGGUAUCGAAUAUAUCAAUAGUUCCCUGUGCUAUACAGUAGAACCUUGUUGUUUAUCCAGUCUAUAUAUAAUAGUUUGCAUCUGCUAAUCCCAAACUCCCAAUCCAUCCCUCCCAGCACCCCCUCCUUGGCAACCACAAGUCUGUUCUCUAUGUCUGUGAGUCUGUUUCUGUUUGGUAGAUAAGUUCAUUUGUGUUACAUUUUACAUUCCACAUAUAAGUGCUAUUAUAUGGUAUUUGUCUUUCUCUUUCUGACUUACUUCACUUAGUAUGAUAAGCUUGAGGUCCAUCCACGUUGCUGCAAAUGGCAUGAUUUCAUUCUUUUUUAUGGCUGAGUAGUAUCCCAUUGUAUACAUGUACCACAUGUAUACAUGUAUACUUUUUUAUCCCUUCAUCUGUCGAUGGACAUUGAGGUUGCUUCCAUAUCUUGGCUAUCGUAAAUAGUGCUGCUAUAACACUGAGGUGCAUGUAUCUUUUCGAAUUCCUUUUCUCUGGAUAUGGACCCAUGCAUCUCUUGGUUCAGAUCCUGCUCUUCCUUCCCACAGCACAUAAAUCUGACAGCUUUAAAAAAAAAAUCGUUUUCCUCUUAAAAUGACACAGGGGACAAAGGAGUUCAACUCCACUCGCAUUUGUGAAAGUACUCCUAAAGUAUUCAAAACUUUGUGACAAAUCUACACUAUACCGUGUGACUAACGUAUGAACAGAAAGCUCCUUGGAGAUUAAGCCGGUCUCUCGUGGGCAAUUUGCACAAAUUUAGGGAAGGAAGCCCUAGGUUAAAAGAUGCAUGGACAUAUCUAUGGUGCCACCUUUCCUCUUUUUUCUGUGAUUCUCCCAGCCAAGGUCAGUGCCCCUCACAUCCCUUCUCUUUCGUGCUCUGUACACUUUUAUCCUUUUGCCUCCCUGAUUCCCAUCAAAAUUUAACCUUCCUGUGUCCCUUUCUCCAAAUUUAACAAUCCUGAGUGCUCUUUUCCCUGGCCUCAAAAAGGGUAGAUAAGUAUGCUGAGUUACUGGGUGCCAAUACCUAGGGAAUUUCUCUCCUGGGUUCUCCUGCAUCCAUUUUAAGAGGGGUCUCUGUGAGGUACCACUGCCAUUUCCUGUGUGUGUGGCCCUGGAGAAGGGCCUUAGCCUUCAAGAGCGUCCAUCUCUUUAUCUUUGAAAUGGGAAUAGUAAUACCUACUUUACAAGGUUGUGGUGAGGUUUUAGGAUAACAUAAGUAGGCUUGGAUGAACCACAGCUAUUAUAACAGUGACCACCCUGUGCCCAUUAGAUGGACUUUUAACCUUGUUCACAGGAUACGAAUAGGACUGUAACGUUCAUAGGGCUUAACGUGGUACUUGACAAAUGUUUCACCAUGUUCCUAGGAAGCAGGGUCUGCUUCUUCGCGCCUUUAUUUUACAGGUACUCUGGCGGCCCUUCUGUGGGCCAGGCCCUGGGUGAUGAAGGAAACAGUGGUCAGCAGAGAGCUUUCAGUAUUGUAACAGAGAGGGAGAAAUACACAAUGGCAAAGGUGAAAGAGGAAAAGGGCAGGACAUGAAAGAGAUUACCAGGUGGGCAUAAUUGAGACUGGAGGUGGGCAGGAAAACCUCUCUGAAAAAGGGACUAAGCAGAACAUGAGGUGUGAACAGAAUUUAGCCAAGCAAGGUUUGGGGGAAGCGUGUUCCAGGCAGAACACGUGCAAAGGCCAUGAAGUAGAGAUGGCCAUGAAGUAGUGAUGACCAUGGAGUUGAAAGGAAACUGCAGGACCGGCAGGUGGGGAGAAAGGGGAGCAGGAGGUGAGACUGACCAUUCAGGGCCUUGUCGGCCACAUCAGUACUUUUUGUUAUUGAAGUACAGUUGAUUUACAAUGUUGUGUUAGUUUCAGGGGUACAGCACAGUGAUUCCGUUAUGUAAUGUUUGUGCGUGUGUGUGUGUAUGUGUGCAUUCUUUUUCAGAUUCUUUUCCCUUAUAGGUUAUUACAAAAUAUUGAGUAUAGUUCCCUGUGCUAUACAGUAGAACCUUGUUAUUUAUCUGUUUUAUAUAUAGGAGUGUGUAUAUGUUAAUCUCAAAUUCUUAAUUUAUCCCUCCCCCUUUCCCCUUUGGUAACCACAAAUUUCUUUCCAAUGUCUGUGGGUCUAUUUCUGUUUUGUAAAUAAGUUCAUUUGUAUCUCUGUUUUCUUUGAUUCCACAUGUAAGCAAUAUCAUAUGAUAUUUUUCUUUCUCUGUCUGACUUACUUCACUUAGUGUGAUAAUCUCUAGGUCCAUGCAUGUUGCUGCAAAUGGCAUUAUUUCAUUCUUUUUAUGGCUGAGUAAUAUUGCAUUGUAUAUAUAUACCACAUUGUCUUUAUUCGUUCAUCUGUCAAUGGACAUUUAGGUUGCUGCCAUGUCUUGGCUGUUGUAAAUAGUGCUGCUAUGAACAUUGGGGUGCAUGUUAUCUUUUCGAAUUAUACUUUCUCUGGAUAUGUGCCCAGGAGUGGGAUUACAGGAUCAUAUGGUAACUCUAUUUUUAGCACAUUGAUAUGUUGGAUCUCAGCAGUGAGGUGGAUUGGAAAGAGGAGCAAGCGAGGUCUCAGAGAGACUAGUGAGGAGGCAGGAGAUGAUGAACCGGACUACCUGGGGGAAGAGCAUCUUUGCCUUUUGCUCAUGUCCUGGGUGGACCAGAGUCCCUUGGAAAACUUGCCUUCCCCACAAAAGGUAAAGAACCUCUUGGAGGUAAAGAACUUGGUGUUGUGUAUAAAGGUGGUGCCUUGGAGGCCUUUACAUCCAUACCGCCCGGAGGUGAAGGCUCUCCCUGAGUUGUUCUGUUUCCUAUGGUCCAGGCAGCCUCCUGGCCCUCAGCUCUCAGUCCUUCUGAAUCGGGUGAGCAGGACGAGGACUUUUUCCACAUAGCAGCUAACAUUCCCAAGCUGCCCUUGCCAAACCAGCAAACAGAGUUCCUUAUACAGGAUAGCCUUACUGAGUUGGAUUUAAAUUAAGGUAGGGGAAGAGGGAGCACAAGGAAAACUGACAAAAAGCCCAACUUGUCAGUGUCUCAGUGGCCUUCUCAUUGCUGGUAGGUACAUGUAAUCACCUGCUCCCAAGCAUUCUCUGCCCCUUGUUGAGUGGGCCCUGGUGAAAGGCUGAUCACUUGGGAAGGACACGGAGAGCAGGUCAUGCAGCCAAGGGAGACAAAGGCCAAGCUAGUUUCAAAGGUCUCACCAACCCAUAGGAAUGGGGGAGCCUGGGGCCAGAAGAGCGUACAAGAAGUAAGAAAUGCAGAAAGCCAGGUGCAGCAACAUAACCUGGCCAAGGAGGAUUCCAGAGUCAGAGGUCCAUGCAGGCACCUGGGUGACCUUUUGCUGUCCUGGUAAGGGCUUGUGCAACUGGGAGGGACCGUAUAAAUUGACAGAAAUGAAGCAGGCAGUGCCACUGCCGGUCUCUCCAAGUGGAGGUCUCUACUGAGGCCACUUCCACUGAAAAAAUAAAAUGCACUGGUCAUUAGCAACAUCCUUUAUUUACAAUUAAGGUGCUGAAAUCUGCAAAAGCUCUUCUCUAUUGUAUGUCCUGCCUCUUUCCCAAAGAUUUAAGAUAUAAUUUUUUUUCCUCUUUAUGAUUCAUGCUAUACUUUCACUAAAUAUAAGCCUAACAAACAUUUCUUCCCAGAUCCUACAGAACGUAAGCUCAGACCAGCCUGGGAAGAAUUAUCACAAAUAUUUAAUUAAUGAGCCAGAAUUAGUGAGGUGUUUCGUGCACCAUGGAGAUGAGGCAUUUUGAUACUGGAUCACGAUCCCAUUUCAGAUCUAACUCUAUGCGGUCUUGUAAUUAGGAAGAGUAUUUGCACCCAGUGGAGGCCUGAAACCAAUUUUGAGGUUGGAUAACUUAAAUUAAUGCUUUUUACUCCUAAAUGAAUCCCAGAUUUUGAGUGCUAUAAAUUUUUCAUUACUAUGUCUGGCCAAUCGCAAACAUCAGCCAUGACCUUUCAGGGCACUCUGGCAGGAGCCUAGCGGCCCUCACCUGAAAAGCAGAUGAGUCCAGGAGGAUGUCAGAGGCCCCUCGGAGUCAGCUGGGCAAGGACCGGCUUGUGCAAAUUUGGAGCGGGUAGCCAACAGCAUGGUCAAAAUUUGAGAGUCAUUCCAAAGCCCAGCGUGCUCCAGCAGGCCACCACGAUGGCCUGCCACAGCACCUCAAAUGCCCAGUAUUGGGGCCACCCCUUUAGAGUAAAACUCUGUCUCAGGAGUUUUCCUGUAGGAGUUACAUUAUUAAGGUUAGAGGUUCAGCUGAUCUAGCAAAUCCCAAAACAAUACAGGAUAGAACUCUUUUCUCUCACAUGUAACCUUCUGAGAAUAAACUGUCUAAAGUCAAUAUGGUGGCUUCAUGCUGUCAGGGGACCAGGCUUCUUCUGUCUUGUGUCUCCACUAUCCCAAGAGUGUGGCUUUCAUCUGCAUAGUGCAAAAAAUGAAAAGGGGAUGGUACGCCCCUCCCUUUUAAGGCACAACCUAGAAUUUGUACACAUCAUUUCUCACAUCCAACUGUUCAGAGUAUAGGUUACUUGGCCACACCUGGACACAAAGGAAGCCACACCCACCUGCGAAUUCCUGCACCACACUAGGUCAGCAUCACUUCCCACCUCUUGAACCAACUUAUGCAAGGGAGGCUGGGAAACGUAAUCUUUACUAUAUUGUCCUGUGCCCAGUGAAAUGCCAGGGUUCACCUGCUGGAGGAAGAAAGUGAAAAUGGAUAUGGGAGACAAUUAACCAUUUCUAUUUACAGUGUACACUUGUGGACAUGGAAAGAAAGUGCCUAUUAAGGAAUAAACCUUCAUAGUGGACCCAGCGCAUGGAUCACACUAGAGACUUGUCACAUACAAAGCAUAGAGGACUGAAAGGCAAAGGCACUCAGGACAAGCAAGUUUUGAUUAGAAGGAAGAGUGGGGAUAUAUGGAACCCUUCUCUAGGAAGAGCAUCUAGAGGGCACCGAAAUUCUGAGGAAGUUAAAAACAGAGACAUAGAGAGCUGGAAGAGAAUGGUGGGAGUGGGGAGGUAUCAGGACCCAAAGCAGAUUCUCAAAUGUGUAAUAUUACUGGUGGCCAAUUCUUUAAGUAGCCAUGCUUCUUGAAUCCCUCUGCCCUAGAUUCAUUCCCAUCUAAAAGCACAUGUUGCUCAAAAGAAAGAGUUCAGCAUUAAACAGAGCUGGAGUUAUAGCUGUGCUCCAUCAUUAACUUGCAGAGAGACCCUGGACAAAUUACUUAGCCUUUCUGAGCCCACUUAUACAUUUUUGAAUCACGGUAAUAAUAUUAACCAACAGUGCAAUUAGGUGCACAAAAUGAGAUGAUGUAUAUAAAACAAUUAGUACUGGGCUUCCCUGGUGGCACAGUGGUUGAGAGUCCACCUGCCGAUGCAGGGGACACGGGUUCGUGCCCCGGUCCGGGAAGAUCCCACAUGCUGCGGAGCGGCUGGGCCCAUGAGCCAUGGCCGCUGAGCCUGCGCGUCCGGAGCCUGUGCUCCGCAAUGCGAGAGGCCACAACAGUGAGAGGCCGGCAUACCGCAAAAAUAAAUUAAUUAAUUAAUUUUUUAAAAACCCAAAAAACAAUUAGUACUAAGCCUGGCUCAGUGAAUGGUAGAUACAAUUAGUAUGAAAACUUUUCACCUCAUAACAAGCAACUGGUCCCUCAAAUAAGGAGCUUAGCCAUUAUGACAGGGUCAUGGGAUAGAAAAAUCGUGCAUGUGUGAGAUGCUGAGAACCUAAAAGACACAUACCUAUGUCUCACUGGCAACAAUAUAGCAAUCACAAAAGCAAAAUAUUCUUUAUUUUUUAAUUAAUAUUCUCUCCACUUGGGGAAAGCACUUUGAUAGCUACAGACAUGGGAAAAGAAUGCGUCCUAAAGAUGGGAUUCCUCACAUUGUGCAAAAGAAGAAAACAAACCUUCAUCCAUGAGCUUCUAUCUAUGCAGCAGGAUGAGGCCAGAGCUAUGCACCAGAUGAAUAAGUAAUUUCAUAAUUUUACAUUUCACAUCCAAGCUAAAUAAUACUCUUGGCUAAGCAAUCUCAGUUUAUCUUCUGGCACCCAAUUUUUUAAGGCAAAUACCUCAACAUAAACAAAAUAAUAAAUAGAAAGACUAUAUUAAUGAUAGUUCUAAGUAAUCAGAAUCAUUUAACUGGGAUUAUGGACAAGGACAGGGAAAAUAUACUCAAGAUUGUUAACUGGAAGAGACAGAAAGGGAGAGAAGGAAGGCUGUGAGUAAAAUUAGUUCAUCCUGGGUCACACUUUCACUCACUCAGCAUGACCAUGCCACAUUGUUUUUCUAAAUCUUAGAAAAGUGCAUGAAAGCAACAUUAUUACUGAGAACCAUCCAAAAUGUCAUCCAGGCUUUUGGGAGAAGUAAUUGCUGCACUGCUUAGCAGGACCCAUGUAUAUUGAACAGGAUGCCACCAGUGAUGAGAGGAUGGUCAAAACCAAUGGCUGGUUUUUAGAAAGGCAAAUCUAAGAAACAACAUUUAGGGCAUGUUACACCAGGUCAGACCAUUCAGCACCAUUUCCUUCCUCUUGAAUCAACAAAUGUUUUCAAUUAAUUCCAUCUCUGAAGUGUAUGACCCAUGGAAUCUCUGCAUAUAUCUUCAUCUUACUUCCCUGAACACUCUGAAUUUUGAGUCCCUUUGGCUACCUGAUCACUUUUCCUGAAUCUCCUUUCUCCAAUCCUAUUCUUUUUUUUUUUUUAAGAUUUGUCAGUUAGAACUAGACAGGUGCAGACAUAAUAUGCCAAGGUUUUAUAUAAUGAUGAGACAUAAAUACAGUUCCUUAUGUCACCAUGUAUGCUUUUGUCUUUGUUGACUGCAAUGGUAUAUUGACCUUCCUCAGGAGCCAUCAGAGAGAGUCCUUCUCUACUUGGACUUACUAAUUCAUUCAUUUGCAUGGCAAGUAAUUCAUUGUAACUUUGGACAUAGGUGAGACAUGGGCUCUUAGCAACCUUUCAUGGAACCUUGGGACAGAGUUUAUUCAUCUGCAUUUGGGUGGCAAGACUACUUUAUUUUACUGUGUUUCCUCUCUGUCAGGGUACUUAUUAAAAUACUUUUAAAAGACGUUCAGGUUGGAAUGAUAAUUGGAGCAUAUGUGUUCCACUUCACUGCAGAAGCACGGGAGACCUUUCAACCUUGAGCUACCCACUGGCAGCGUGGGAGUAGGUGACAGGAUGUCUCAGGCCCAGCUCAUAUAAGUAAGCUCGCACGAGUGUGUAAACAGGCAAAAUCCCUUCGAUAUUGCAACAACAUUCCCAGGCUUCUCCCAAUUCAACCUUUUCUCAUCACCAUAACAGCCUACAUUUCAUAAUGAAUAAUGCAGAGUAAUAUCAAGAGAACAAAAAGGGAAAUUUGUGAUGGUUUCCUUUGGGGUUAUAUCUCUCUCUCAUCCAGUGAGCUUAUCUUUCUCCUGGGGACCCUUGGAUUCUAGCCAUGUGAAGUCCUAGCCAAUCAGGCAAUAGGCAAUGAGUAGAGCACAGAUCAGAAUCCUUACCAACCUUUGAAGAGUGCCAAGUUCAGAGUCCAAAAAAAGGGAAACCCACAACAACUCCUGUGCUCAGCUCCACAAACCAGGAAUGGCCCUACUAGGCAAAGCAAUGAGUUAUUUCAGUAUUGUUCUGUAACAAACCACUCUAAACAUAGUGGUUUACAAUGGAAUAUUUCACAGAACUACAACAAAUAAUUCUAAAAUUUGUAUGGAACCACGAAAGACCCCAAAUAGCCAAAAUAAUCUUGAAGAAUAAAGCUGGAAGCAUCACAUUCUCUGAUUUCAAGCUAUACUACAAAGCUAUCAUAAUCAAAACAGAUUGUAUUGGCACAAAAACAGACACAUAGAUCAAUGGAACAGAAUUGAGAGCCCAAAAAUAAACCCACACAUAUAUGGACAAUUAAUCUAUGACAAAGGAGCAAAAAACAUGCAAUGAAGAAUGGACUGUCUCUUCAACAAAUGGUGUUGGGAAAACUGGACAGCCACAUGCAAAAGAACAAAACUAGACCACUAUCUUACGUUAUACACAAAAAUUAACUCUAAAUGGAUUAAAGACUUGAACAUAAGACCUGAAAUUAUAAAAUUCCUGGAAGAAAACAUAAACCUCACUGACAUCAGUGUUAGCAAUGUUUUUGUGGAUCUGAUUCCAAAGGCAAGGAAAACAAAAGCAAAAAUAAAUAAGACUACAUCAAACUAAAAAGUUUCUGUACCAUGAAGGAAACCAUCAUCAAAACGAAAAGGCAACCUACUGAAUGGGAGAAUAUACUUGCAAAUCAUAUAUCCAGUAAGGGGUUAAUAUCCAAAAUAUAUAAAGACUCAUACAACUCAACAACCACCAAAGAAAACAACCCGAUUUUAAAAAUGAGCGUAGGAUCUGAAUAAACAUGUUCCCAAAGAAGACAUAGAUGGCCAACAGACACAUCGCUAGUUAUCAGAGAAAGGCAAAUCAAAACCACAAUGAGAUAUCACCUCACACCUGUUAGAAUGGCCAUUGUGAAAAAGACAAGAAAUAACAAAUGUUGGAGAGGGUGUAGAGAAGAGGGAACCCUCAUGCACUGUUGGUGGGAAUGUCAAUUGGUGCUGCCACUAUGGAAAACUGUAUGGAGAUUCCUCAAAAAAAUUAAAACUAGAACUACCAUAUGACCCAGCUAUUCCAUUUCUGGACACUAAUUCAGAAAGACAUACGCACCCUUAUGUUCAUUGCAGCAUUUUUUCCCAUAGCCAAGGUAUGGAAAAAGCCUAAGUGUCUAUCAAUGGAUAGAUGGAUAAAGAAGAUGUGGUGUGUGUAUAUCUACUCAGCCAUAAAAAAAAAAUGAAAUCCUGACAUUUGCAACAAUGUGGGUGGGCCUUGAGGGUAUUAUGCUUAGCUAAUAAGUCAGACAGAGAAAGACAACUACUGUAUGUUAUCACUCAUAUAUGGAAUCUAAAAAACAAAAUCAUAGAUACAGAGAACAGAUUAGUGGUUACCAGAGGGGAAAGAGGUUGGUGGUGGACAAAACGGGUGAAGGGGAUCAACUGUAUACUGAUGGAUGGUAACUAGACUUGUGGUGGUGAUCACUCUGUAGUGUAAACAGAUGUUAAACUAUAAUGCUGUAUUCCUGAAACUUGUAUAAUAAGAUAAGUAAGUAAAUACAUCAUAGUGGUUUAAAACAAUACUUUGCUAUUUCUCUCACAGUUCUGUGGGUUGACCUGACUCGCCUGUAUAAUUCUCACUUGGGGUCUGGUCUCUCAUGCAGUCAGAUGGUGGCUAGGACUGGAGUCAUCGGGGGUAUAUUGGGCUAGACGUCCAAGCGGGCUUCUUCACUCACCUGUCUGUCCUCAGUGCUCUCCACAUGGUCUCUCUUUAUAGCAGAGUAGCCUGGAACUCUUACCCCGAGUCUCAGGGCACCAAAAACAGGAAACAGAAAUUUCCAGGCCUUUUAACGUCAGUCUCAAAGCUAGUACAACAUCACUUCCAUCAUAUUUCAUUAUUCAAAACUAUCACAAGCCAGAUUCAAGGGAGUGGAGAAAUAGACUCUUCCUCACCAGGGGGAGGGGCCCAUACUCACAGGAGGGAAGGAAUUGAUGGCAGCCAUUCCUGCAGACAAGCUACCACCAAACAGGGAGAGAGAAUUCUUUGGAACAGAAGACGUUCUCUCUGCCCAGACUGCUCUGAGAGAGGCCCCCUCCCCUGCUGCUCUUGGGUGGCCCAAUGACUAAAGCAGCAAAGUAAAAUUUGAGCAAAUACAAUUGUUUAAAAUUGGGGUAUAGAGGAAUUAAUAAACCCACACCACUCCUAGACUUCAACAGAUCAAGCUGAUGGAAAAUAAAUAAAAGAUACAGAGGCUUUAACUAAUCUAAUAAAAAUAGAUUUUUGGAUAUUUAUUUAACAGUGCACCCAUCAAAUAGAAAAUUCACAUUAUUUUUUAAAUUUGUAAAAAAUUACUAUAACUUAGGCAACAAAGAAAACCAGAAAAAGGAGAAAAAAGUAUAAUUUUUACAGGCCACGUUUUCCCACCACCUCACCACAAUAAAAAUUUAUGGGAAUUGGAAAAAAAUCAUAGCCUUAAUUUUUUUCAUUAUUAAAAUGAAAACAAUGAGCUGAGCGUUCAGUAAAAACUUAGAAAAGAAUAUGAAACAAAUCUACAAAAACAGAACUAAGGAAUCUAUGAGCAUAAGAACAAAUUAAUGAAAACCAAGCAAAAAGAGUAGAGCUGAGAAGUAAGUCUUAAAAAAAAAUUUCUUUGGAAGUACCAAUAUCAUUGACAAAUCUUUGAAAGUCAAAAAAAGUCAGAACAUGUAAAUAUGUAUAUUAUUGAUAAUGACAAAUGGGGUAUUUAUCAUCACAAAUUAAGAUAUUUGUUCAAUUGUAAGAAUUUCCUGUGUACAAAGUACAGGGCUAUGCAAAGGAUUAAAAAAUCUCAUGGAAUGAAUGAUUUUCUAAGAAAGGAUAAAUUAUGGAAAUGGACUCAAGUACAAAGCCUGAAGAGGUCAAUACCUGUGACAAAAACUUUUAAAGGCAUCGAAGAGCUGCACUCAAGAAAACCAGCAUGUCCAGAAAGAUUUUGAGAGAAUUUUCUCAUGCUUUUAGUGAACUAAUAACUCUUUUCUUUUAUUAACUUUUAUUGGAAUAUGGUUGCUUUACAAUGUUGUGUUAGCCUACACUGCACAACAAAAUGAAUCAGCCAUAGACAUACAGAUAUCCCCUCCCUUUUGGGCUUCCCUCCCAUUUACGUUACCACAGUGCAUUAGGUAGAGUUCCCUGUGCUAUACAGUAUGUUCCCAUCAGUUGUCUAUUUUAUACAUAGUAUCAAUAAUGUAUACGUGUCAAUCUGAACUAAUAACUCUUAAGCUAUUUCACAAAUACAGAACAUGUGCAAAAGAUGAAAAUCUUCCCAAUUCCUUUUGUGAAAGUUAGCAUUACCUUGAUGACAAAAAGAGCAACAAAAGAAAAGUGGCCCAUCUCACAUACGAAAUUGGGUGCAAAGAUCCUAAAUUAAAGAUUAACAAUUGAUUCUAGAACUUUUCAGAAGUUAUUUUAGAAAUGUGAGGAUAGUUAGAAAUUAAAUAGACUCAAUGCCCAAUAAGGAAUUUAAGAACUGCGUUUGGUAUUUCCAUGUCACAGAAGAUUAUGCAACCAUUGAAAAUAAUAUUGAAAAUGGUAAGGGAGGGACUUCCCUGGUGGUCCAGGGAUUAAGAAUUCCCCUCCCAGUGCCGGGGAUAUAGGUUCAAUCCCUAGUGGGGGAACUAAGAUCCCACAUGCCACGGGGCAACUAAGCCCGCGUGCUGCAACUACUGAGCCCGCACGCUCUGGUGUGCCACCACUAGAGAGAAGCCCGUGCGCCGCAACGAAGAGCCUGCUCGCCGCAAUGAAAGAUCCCACAUGCCACAACUAAGACCUGAUGCAGCCAAAUAAAUAAAUAAACUGCUGGAAAACAUAAAAUCUAUUUAAAAAAAAUACAAAAUGCCAGGGGAGAAAUGGUCACAGCAUUUCAUUAAAAAACUUUGAUACAGGAUGAUCCCAUUUUUGUACAUAUAUGGGCCACUCUGUGUGUGUAUUGGGGGGUGGAGGUGGGCGGGGAUGUGAUCUGAAAGAAUGAGCACAAAAUGUUAACUCUCUGAGUGUAAUCAUUGAAAUUCUUCCCUCCUCCUCUUCUCCCUCCUUCCUUUGUGCAUUUUCCAAAUUUUCCACAAAGAAAAUGUAGAACUUUGUAAUCAGAUUAAAAAGGGGGAAUUUUGUUCUUAAAUAAGUCUUAUCUCAGUAGUAAUAGUAGUUCUUAACAAACCCUGUGUUUACAAGUGUCCCACUAAAGAUGUGCCAUUUUUAUUUCUACCCUUUCAUUUCUCUAGUUUCCUCUUGUUACCAAAUAUUUCCUUCAUGCUUUCAACUUACCCUCCAAUUUGGCAUCCAAAGAAGUUAUUAUGGAGAGCAGGCCAGCGUGUGUGUCAGCAAAAUGAAUCAAAUAACUAAAGGAAUUGACCUUGGAUCCUUUUCCAUGAAGAGCACAUACAAGGCAGGCUAUUACAUGAGAUUUAUAGACGGGGCAAGUGUGUGGUAGCGAAAAGGGAGCCGAGAAGGAUUCUGGCAUCACCACUCACAACACACCCUUCUCUUUGCCCUCAGUUCUGGCUUUGGGAAAGAGGAAGAAGGCAAGACAGCUGUCUGUGUGCCACUUUGUCCCUGUCCUAGACUUGGGCCUAUGAAUGGAUGCUGUUAAAUGAGUCGCCAGAAUAUGGUGUCUUCAUUUCAAGCGAUGGACCAAAGCUGAAGUGUGUGGUUCAAUAAAGGAAACAGCAUGGAAUGGCAGAAAGAAACACCAAGGGAGCAGGGCCGAUUUGUGCUGAGGAACCUGGAUAUUUUCCUGUAGAAGGUGGGGAGGGGAGACAUUGAAGAAUUUAAGCAGGAAGACAACACUGAAUGUGUGUCUAUGUCUAUGCAUAUAUAUAUAUGUAAAUUUUUAUAUAUACAGGCAUAUAUACAUCUUAUAUAUACUUCUAUGUAUCCAUGUGCAUGCAAACGUGUAUAUCUAUGUGCACACAUUUUAUUUAUGUGUGUGUGUACAUAUAUACAUUUUAUAUGGAAACCAAAAUAUCACUGGAAAAGAGAAAGGCUGAAAGCAGGAAGACUGGUAUACUUAGAAGUUACAGAGGAUGAGCAACAGCGAGGGUGUGGAAGAAUGAGUGGAGAGGAAAGAUCUUUGGAUCUCUGUGAGAGGAAAGAUCUUUGGAUCUCUGUGAGAGGAAAGAUCUUUGGAUCUAUGUGAGAGGAAAGAAUCAGAACUCUGCUUCCCCCUGAUUGUGGCAGAAGAUGGCCACCCCCCAGUUUCCACUUACAUCCCCUCUAUUCAAGGAAUCAACCCUAACUGACUAACUACCUGCAAACUCAGUCAUAAUUCCAAACUCCCAGAAGAGAGAAUCUGACCGGUCUACCUCAGAUUAGGCGUCCACCCGCUGGUCCAGUCAACUAUAGCCAAGGCCAGUGUCACACAACACAAAUACAGUUGCUGAGAUCCAUUUAUCUGUGGGACGUUUGACUGCUGUCCAACUCCACCUCUGGACUAUAUUCUUCAUGAGGGCCGGGAGUGUGUUUGGUUGCUCAGCGCUGUCUGUGGCACCUUAUAAGGUGUCCAGGACAUAGUUGGCACUCAAAAACCAUUUGUCAAAAGGAUGAAUGCACAAAUGACUUAACAAAUGAAGAGAAGAAUCAGACAGAAGAAGCAGCAUGAUGGAGUCAUCCUAUCCAGCCCCCCAUCCGUUCAUUGUUCAUGUGUCUCAUUUAUCACCAGAGCACCUACUUCAGCAGAACGACAUCAGUCGCUUCACCACGUCAAUGAGUUUUGUGGUCUAGCUUGAGAACCAACCCCCAUUUACAAGAGUGAUGUAAGUUAGAAAUUAUGCUCCUAAUUCUAAACAACUGACAUAAAACAAACUUUGGAAACCGAAUCCACUUAACAUGAGAAAUACCUCCAAACAAGACAAUCAAGGGGAGAACUAGGCCAGAGAGUAAAGGUAUUUGUCGGAAGAAACUUGGCAGACCUGUUCUUUUUCCAUCUGAUUAUUUUCAUAUUCUUCCUGUGAAAUCCAAUUUGCUUAAGUGACCUCUGUUCAUAAGAAACUAUUUGGUCUAAUCUGUGGAAGCCAUGGCAUAUUUUUAACCACCUCUGAAGGCCAGCUCCCUCUCCAUUGAGUGUGCCUGAUACCCAAACAGAUGUUUUAUAACACUCAGAACACAUGAGCUCACCACUGGUGAGUCUUCUGCAUGCAAUCAGCCCUCAGAUCUUCUCACAUUUCCCCUAUCAUCCCACAAACCCAAAUUCAGAACUCACAGGCAAGCUUGAAUACUUACCAUGGUAACAAAAAAGCAGAACAUGGAGAAUCCAAUUUUGAAUUUUCAACUUAUUAAUGUUUUGCAAAUCUGAUGGCCAGCUGGAAAAUAUGCAAUACAAAGAGUUAACCAAACUAAGUAGUAUAUAAAAUGAUGUGCAGGGCUUCCCUGGUGGUGCAGUGGUUAAGAAUCCGCCUGCCAAUGCAGGGGACACGAGUUCGAGCCCUGGUCCAGGAAGAUCCCACAUGCCAUGGAGCAACUAAGCCCGUGCGCCGCAACUACCGAGCCUGCGCUCUAGAGCCCUCAAGCCACAACUACUGAAGCCCGCGCACCGAGAGCCCGUGCUCCACAACAAGAGAAGCCACCACAAUAAGAAGCCCAUGCACCACAACGAAGAGUAGCCCCUGCUCACUGCAACUAGAGAAAGCCCACGCGCAGCAACAAAGACCCAACACAGCCAAAAAUAAAUAAAUUUAUUUAAAAAAAAAAAAAA